rnacentral:lncRNA from 1 species
UGGAGGAUGCGCCGUCCUGGAGGGUGAUGGCAAAUCAUCGAAAGACCGCCCUGCGGAAACCCCCGAGCGGUUCGGAAAACCGGGUACUCUCUCUCUCCCCCGUCGCCGUCGCCGCCGUCGUCGUCGUCUCCACCUCCUUUCCACGGCCGCAUCCCACCUCCACCCAACCUGAAAGCGACGCUGCCGCACAGGAGAAGGGAAGGGAAGGACCUCUCCCGGUCGUCGCGACCGCGCCUGCCCUCCUCUCCCCUCGCGCCACCG